rnacentral:rRNA from 1 species
CCUACGGGUGGCUGCAGUGGGGACUAUUGCGCAAUGGGCGAAAGCCUGACGCAGCGACGCCGCGUGAGGGAUGAAGGUCUUCGGAUCGUAAACCUCUGUCAGCAGGGAAGAACGGUCACUGUGCUAAUCAGCAGUGAAUUGACGGUACCUGCAAAGGAAGCACCGGCUAACUCCGUGCCAGCAGCCGCGGGAAUACGGAGGGUGCGAGCGGUAAUCGGAAUUACUUGGCGUAAAGCGGUCGUAGGCGGUAUGGCAAGUCACAGGUGAAAUCCCCGCGCUCAACGUGGGAACUGCCUUUGAAACUGGCAAACUGUAGUGUGUGAGAGGAUAGGGGAAUUCCAGGUGUAGGAGUGAAAUCCGUAGAUAUCUGGAGGAACAUCAGUGGCGAAGGCGAAUAUCUGGCACAUAACUGACGCUGAGGAGCGAAAGCGUGGGUAGCAAACAGGAUUAGAUCCCCUGUAGUC